GGAAACCGGGGGGUGGAAAUGGGAGUCUGAAAUGUCUCUUUUUUAAGUUUGGCAAACAGAAUGUUCAUACUGAUGUGUUGUGCCUUAAAGACAAGACAGCGUUUGUGUGUUACAAUGUAACUUUGGUUAAAAUCUGUAGAUAAUGAAAAAAAAAAAAAAAAAAACCUUUGUGAUCAUUCUUAAGAUGACCAAAUUUAAAAUUCAAGCUAUCAAAAGCUUAAUACUGCAUCAGCAAGAAACUGAGUAUUUGUUGCAAUAAGAAAACAAUGAUAAUAAAAGAAAGCUUGUGUUUUAUUUGGGUUCUUAAUAAUUCCAAUAAUUAUAUGAGGCAACUACUUGUGCAUCCAACCGUAAGCAGAAGGUUUGAGAAAGACUGUGGGACCUUUACUUAGAAAGUGAAAUGUAUGUUGAAGUCUCGAGUACCCUUUCUACAGUUCUCCUGGAGAAAACUAAGAGCCAUAUUCAUGACUACUUAACAUUAUUUUGCGUUUGACCUUCCGAUAUGUGUAAGUCGUGUAGAGGAAAAUAGUCUCAUUAAAAUCAUAAGCAAAUAGUACCCAAACUUUCUUAGGAGAAGCCGUGAACAUGGCUUAGAAUUCACGUCGAGCGAACUAUGGCUUGACGUCAAGCUAAGUGCAUUCAUUCCUGAUGCCGUGGCAAAAACGAAAGGUCUUCCGUGGCGGAAGGCGAAUGCCCAGAUGGUUUCUAAAGGAAGGAGUGAAUCGAUGAAAAUUUUACCUAGAAUAUCAUCAUAAGAUAAAUUGGCAAGUGAGCCAGAUCUUGGGAGCAAGACCGAAAUUGCAGCAGUGAAGUAGUAUCUGGUUCUCUGUCUUAAUGCAUCAGUCCAGUUUCUCUCCCUUAGAGACCCCUGCACCUUCAUUUCUGCCUGCACUGUUUCUGCACAAUGACCUGCAUUCAUUGCAAGGAGAACCUGUCAUCGUCGUGUGUGCAUGUGUUUUGUUUUUUUUUUUUUUUUUCGUGGUGUGUAGCCCACGUUAGGAACACGAUACAGGUUCUCCUGUCAUUUCGUAUGACAUGAUUUCCCUUGUGGGAAUUUAAGACUUCAAGAUCUAGGAAUGUUUGAAUGGGGUGUGCACCUGCAGUUCUGUGUUUAAAAUAUCAUAAUGUGGAACCAGGAGUCCAGUCCGUAGGCAGCGCCCCUAACCAGAGGCUGGUCCGUGAUGGCUUCGGUGGCUCCCAGAGAUCAGUGCUUUGCACACUGAUCGCAGCAUUCACUAUGGAAAUGUGGUUUCAUUUUGCAGGCUAUAAACCCGUAUUUCUUUACUGAAUGCCGAGGCCAUACUUCCAUCGAGCAGAAAGAGCUUGAGAUCCAAUGUUGCAGAUUGUAAGGCUGUGAUUUCAUCAUGCGAACCUUCAACAUAUUCUUUAAAUUUUGUAACUUUUGGCUCUCUCUGCCCCAGGUACUGGUGCAGAUAAAGUAAGGUUGCAAGACUUUUAAUAAUAAUGAUAAUGAUAAUAAUACUAAUAAUAAUCUUACAUUUAUAUUGGCCUUUAGCUUGAAAAUAGCAGUUUAAAAAAAUCAAAGAGCUGCACUGGCUAUCAAUAAUUAUGUUUUGUGCACUAAAACUUUAAAUAUUUAUUACUGUGAAUGAAACGAAAUUAUCUUUGUCGCCAGUUUCUUUAAAUGAUAGAAUUGUGGCAUUAUACCUAGAUUUUUCAUUCUUUUUCCAUAUCAAACAAGCAAGGCUUCUAAUGCUGCUAAACCAGCAGGUACAGAGAGGAAUACCCCUUCACAGGGCAAAGGGAGGGUCGCCAAUUACAUCACCUAGUGCUGUUCCCCACACACAUCUUCUCCCCUGACAGUGUGUUCAGAAGAGACUGCAAGCAUAAAACCUAGAAGCUAGGUUGACAGAGAACAGUUUGGCACAAUAAUGGCACAAGCCAACGUGGCCGAGCUCGCAGCAUGUCGUGCAACUUUGAGCAUGCUCAGUCUAGAACUCUGCCCUUCCUAUGCUAGGAGCAGAAGAUCCUCUAGCUUUCUGAUCUACAAAAACAAACAAACAAACAAAAAUAAGCCAACAAGCAAACAGGAAGGACAACCCCUUUUGGAAAUUCCCACUUUCUGUUGACAUGGACUAUUGUGCCUUACUGUAAACCAAUUUGAAAAGUAAUUUGGUCACUGAAAGGAAUUUUCGGCUACUACAUGUACACAAGUUGGUUUAUCACCAGGGAAGGUAACCACCUUGGGUUGCACCUGAAAAAUAGAAAAGCAGGUGGCCUGACUAUAGUAAUAUAGCAUACAAGAUUAAGCCACUACACCCCUACGAAAGUUUGUAAGUCAAAUUCCGAGGCAAAAAGUAGAUUUUAGAGCCAUGCAUUUGGCUCACAAAAAGUAGAUAACCCUCUAAACGUGCUUUUUUUUUUUCUUAGUCUCUGGUGAGCUAAGAUUCAAAAUAGCGUGAAGAGCAUGCUCCAGUCUGAAGUUGCUGGGUUUUGUUUUGUCUUUGUUCUUUUAAGCAAAUUUGUCUGUGAUGAGCCUAUCUUCUCAGUGAAUAUGGCCUUCAGUGUUUCCUUCAGAAACAAAUUGAAGCAUCACGCACCAAAGUUGCAUCUUGACUCGCAACUAUGGUGGCAUUUUGGAAAUCUCACAGUCCAGCUCAAGGGUUUCUGUUAUGUAUUAGUAAAGUAUAGAUUAUCGGGGCCUACAUAAUUUAAAGAAAUGUAAAUUAAUAUUAAAAGCCUGUAAAAAUAUGUACAUCUUUACUAUGUCUCAAUAAAUACCUUUGGAAAUGUUUUCAUUUUCUUCACCCUCCCAGGUUGUAGAGUCUUUGUUGUGUGGCUUUAGCUCGAUUCUAAAUAACGUGAAAUCUAUACUUGGGUUUCUUGGUGUAUUCUCACCUUCCCUUGCUUGUGCCUAGAUUAUGUAGUUUGCAUUUAAAGCGAGCUGAGAUGUAACAAGGCAGAAGGUCACUCAUCAAGACCGAAAGUGGGCUGGUGAAGGGAAAGGCUGUGAGUUGCUUUGGUUGUUACAUAGAAGCAGUUACAUUCCUGUGUUAUGCAGAAAGUAGUUGCCAUUUGCUAAUGACAAAGCAGUGCCUUUUAGAGUAUUUAAAGCACGGUUUUGUUUGUUUUUUUUUUUUUUUUAAGAUGAAUAUGGGGUGUCCUUUAUAAGUAGCUUCCCCAGAGUGAUAGGAGUGUAUUUCUUAAACAGCUUUUAACAGCUUUAUUACCUUGUGUGUGGUACUGAUUUAUUUGCAAAUCUGUUGUUCAAAUGCAAACGGAAGGGAAAUUUCAGACGGCCUCAUUCACGAGUUUUUUUAAAAGGUUCACGGCCAAAUUGAGGAGGUCCUCUCUCUAAAAUUGCUCGUGGCCCCCAGCAUUUCUAUCCUUUCCCUGCUUUACCGUCAAAUACUACUUCCUCCUUAGACUUCCCGUUAUCCAACAUGGCACAUAGUUUAUCUUUUGUAUCUGAUGACUCACCCACUAAAAGUGUGCUCUGCGAGGGCAGUGAUUUUUAUCUUAUUGUGGUUUGCGCACUUCUAUAUAACCAGGAUCUAGGAAAGUAUCUGGCAUAAAGUAGAUACUCAAAAGAAAUAGUUGUUGAAGGAAUGUGUAAACCAUAGGAAAACACUUACCAUGAUCAUGGUCUGAAAUUAAAGAGAUGUUAAAAUGUUGGACUAGAAUUAAAAAGAGAAAAUGCGCA